rnacentral:rRNA from 1 species
GUCGACGAUGAUGCCUAGCUUGCUGGGUGGAUUAGUGGCGAACGGGUGAGUAACACGUGAGUAACCUGCCCUUGACUCUGGGAUAAGCCUGGGAAACUGGGUCUAAUACUGGAUAUGACUGAUCAUCGCAUGGUGGUUGGUGGAAAGCCUUUGUUGGUGGUUUUGGAUGGACUCGCGGCCUAUUAGCUUGUUGGUGGGGUAAUGGCUUACCAAGGCGACGACGGGUAGCCGGCCUGAGAGGGUGACCGGCCACACUGGGACUGAGACACGGCCCAGACUCCUACGGGAGGCAGCAGUGGGGAAUAUUGCACAAUGGGCGAAAGCCUGAUGCAGCGACGCCGCGUGGGGGAUGAAGGCCUUCGGGUUGUAAACCUCUUUCAGUAGGGAAGAAGCCUUUUGGGGUGACGGUACCUGCAGAAGAAGCGCCGGCUAACUACGUGCCAGCAGCCGCGGUAAUACGUAGGGCGCAAGCGUUAUCCGGAAUUAUUGGGCGUAAAGAGCUCGUAUGCGGUUUGUCGCGUCUGCCGUGAAAGUCCGGGGCUUAACCCCGGAUCUGCGGUGGGUACGGGCAGACUAUAGUGCAGUAGGGGAGACUGGAAUUCCUGGUGUAGCGGUGAAAUGCGCAGAUAUCAGGAGGAACACCGAU